rnacentral:misc_RNA from 1 species
AACGCACAUUGCGCCUUUUGGUAUUCCAAAAGGCAUGCCUGUUUGAGCGUCAUUUCAACUUCAACUUUAUUGUUGGUAUUGGAAAGUCUAGUCAUUUUUUUUUGUGGUUGGUUUUCUGAAAAUUAUUGGUGAAUCUUGUUUCAAGACCAAAUAAAACGUAUUAGGUUUUUUCCAACUCGUUUUCCAAGGUUUUUUUACAAAAUGGUUCUCCUUAAUAAACCCCCCAAUUUUUUGACCUCAAAUCAAGUAGGAUUACCCGCUGAACUUAA